rnacentral:rRNA from 1 species
UACGAAGGGGGCUAGCGUUGUUCGGAAUUACUGGGCGUAAAGCGCGCGUAGGCGGUUUUUCAAGUCAGUGGUGAAAGCCCGGGGCUCAACCCCGGAAUAGCCUUUGAAACUGGAAAACUAGAAUCUUGGAGAGGUCAGUGGAAUUCCGAGUGUAGAGGUGAAAUUCGUAGAUAUUCGGAAGAACACCAGUGGCGAAGGCGACUGACUGGACAAGUAUUGACGCUGAGGUGCGAAAGCGUGGGGAGCAAACAGG